AGAAAAGUUCCAAGACAACAAUGAAUUCUAUGACAAAUUGAAACAAGAGUCAAAGGUAGCCCAAACGCAACAUUAUCAGUCGAUCAUCAACCUCAAUAGUUCCGUUGUAUAUUCCUAUGUUAAUGUCCUUGUUUAAAAAGGAGAGAUGCAAGGUUUGCACUCCAUCCAUAUAUCAUCGAAGCUUCAUGUUUUUUAGGGAUGAUAGAAGCCAGACCUAGCCCCCCAUUGUGACUGGGUGCAAUCUGCUGCUUGGAGCUAGUCUCUGCAGAC
rnacentral:misc_RNA from 1 species